GAUGAACGCUGGCGGCGUGCCUAAUACAUGCAAGUCGAGCGAACAGAUAAGGAGCUUGCUCCUUUGCCGUUAGCGGCGGACGGGUGAGUAACACGUGGAUAACCUACCUAUAAGACUGGGAUAACUUCGGGAAACCGGAGCUAAUACCGGAUAACAUAUUGAACCGCAUGGUUCAAUAGUGAAAGGCGGCUUUGCUGUCACUUAUAGAUGGAUCCGCGCCGUAUUAGCUAGUUGGUAAGGUAACGGCUUACCAAGGCAACGAUACGUAGCCGACCUGAGAGGGUGAUCGGCCACACUGGAACUGAGACACGGUCCAGACUCCUACGGGAGGCAGCAGUAGGGAAUCUUCCGCAAUGGGCGAAAGCCUGACGGAGCAACGCCGCGUGAGUGAUGAAGGUCUUCGGAUCGUAAAACUCUGUUAUCAGGGAAGAACAAAUGUGUAAGUAACUGUGCACAUCUUGACGGUACCUGAUCAGAAAGCCACGGCUAACUACGUG
rnacentral:rRNA from 1 species